rnacentral:tRNA from 1 species
CGACGCCGGCGCUGCGCAGGACGAGGCCGGCCAGUUGCAGGCUGGCCUCCAUCGUCUCGGGCACGAUGGCGCUGGC